GUGGGGAAUAUUGGACAAUGGGCGAAAGCCUGAUCCAGCCAUGCCGCGUGUGUGAAGAAGGUCUUCGGAUUGUAAAGCACUUUAAGUUGGGAGGAAGGGCAGUAAGUUAAUACCUUGCUGUUUUGACGUUACCGACAGAAUAAGCACCGGCUAACUUCGUGCCAGCAGCCGCGGUAAUACGAAGGGUGCAAGCGUUAAUCGGAAUUACUGGGCGUAAAGCGCGCGUAGGUGGUUUUGUAAGUUGAAGGUGAAAUCCCCGGGCUCAACCUGGGAACUGCCUCCAAAACUGCAUGACUAGAGUACGGUAGAGGGUAGUGGAAUUUCCUGUGUAGCGGUGAAAUGCGUAGAUAUAGGAAGGAACACCAGUGGCGAAGGCGACUACCUGGACUGAUACUGACACUGAGGUGCGAAAGCGUGGGGAGCAAACAGGAUUAGAUACCCGUGUAGUCC
rnacentral:rRNA from 1 species